rnacentral:rRNA from 1 species
AUUGAACGCUAGCGGCAUGCUUUACACAUGCAAGUCGAACGAGAGGCGGACGGGUGAGUCAUAUAUCGGAAAGUGCCCAGUAGCGGGGGAUCAAUACCGGAAAGAGUGGCUCCUAACGCAUACUAUAGGAGCGGCCGAUAUCGGUUUAGCUAGUUGGUGGGGCAAAGGCUCACCAAGGCGACGAUCAGUAGCUGGUUUGAGAGGAGGACCAGCCACACUGGAACUGAGAAACGGCCCAGACUCCUACGGUAGGCAGCAGUGGGGAAGUUUGGACAAUGGGCGAAAGCCUGAUCCAGCCAUCCCGCGUGUAUGAGAAGGCCUUCGGGUUGUAAAGUACUUUCAGCUUGGAGGCGUUAUCCGCAGAAUAAGCACCGGCUAACUACGUGCCAGCAGCCGCGGUAAUUC